CACUACCUCUAUUAGAAAUCAUGACAAACUAAAAGUUUGAGUGAGAUCUCUAUCAAAAAAGUUAGCUUUCUAAAGAAACCUGAAUUAUUUCACCUCCUGCCUCCCAUGUAGCCUGCAUCACAACAUUUAGCAGAUGAUACUAUAUUACCUCAUGAAUCUUUCUAUCAUUUCAAAUAUAAACCUUGCUAUCCAACCUCACUCUCACCCUCCCUUAGUAAUGCGAGAUCUAAAUGUCUUCAGAGACUGAGGUUAUCUCAUCAUCUCUACUUCGCCCCAGAGUACCUGAAGAACGCAUCAAACAUCAUUCAUUAUCGUCUCUUUCAAAGCAAUAGGAUGGUACAGGUCCUAAUUUAGAUGGUGCUUCUAAUAUUAAUCUUAUUUUACUGAAAAUUUGGCAUUUCAUUUUUGAAAUAUUUGUCAGGCUAAAUAAUGGCCCCCACAAAGAUGACCAAAUUCGAACACAGAAAACCUGUGAGUAUGUUGCCUUACAUAGCAAAAGAGAUACUGCAAACAAAGUAAGGACUUGAAAUGGGACAUUCUCCUGGGUUAUCCAGAUGGGCCCUCAAUAUAAUCAGAAUGGUCUGUACAUAGAGGCAAGAGGGUCAUAUAAGGGAGAAGUUGAUAUGGUGAUUGAAACGGAAACUUCAGUGAUACAGCUAGGAGCAAAGAUCUUCAGAACUGUAAGAUAAUACAUCUGUGCUGUUUUAAGCCAUUAUGCCUGUGGUUCAUUUGCUACAGAAGCCAUAGGAAAUGAAAACAUAUAUUCUUCCAAUUAGCAAUGUAAUUACAUGGGCUAACUAACCUCCUCUUACCAAUUAUUAAAUAUCAAUCAAACGGGAAGAUUUGAUUUGCCAUUUGUAAAUGCCUUUGCCAGUAACUUCACAUCUAGAAUAUUUUUCCUGAGGAUAUUUAUACAAUAUAUCUCUCAUCUAUUAAAAAGAAUGACAAAGAUCUAUAAGCACUGACCUAUAUGCUGAGCUGUAGAUGAUAUAUCAUGUAAAAAAUAAUGAGCAGCAGAAGACAUGCAGGAACUAGGUGUGCAUCGCAAGUGGCUUGGAAGGAUAUAGACUAAAAAGACAAGUGUAGUUAUCUCUAGAUAGUGGGAUUACAGGAUGGCCUUCAUUUUCUCCAAUAUUGGAUUAGUCUUUUUUUCUUUUUAUAAUGAACAUUUAUUAUUUUUCCAAGCUGAAAACUGAUGGAAAAUGUUUUGGACAAAAUAAAGGUUUUAUUUCUGCACAGAGAGUUAAUUUAAUUAACUUAGGAUCACUGUACUUGACACCCAUAUCUUGCUACCACCCCUCAUAACAGGGUCCUUCAUUUGCAUCAUAUCACCAUCAAAAUCACAACCAGUCUAUUUUAUGGGAGAAAGUAGGGCAAAAUCAAGAGUCAGGAGACCACAAAAUUGAACAUAUGAGCUUCCAUCCUCUCUUGGAGCCAGUCCUGCCUCCUGUCUGUCAAAUAUUUCAGUUGGUGGCACCACCAACUACCCAGCCACCUAAGCCAGAAUUUCAGAGUUGUUUUUAACUCUUGACAUCCCACAUUCCAUCAUUCACACCAAAUUCUCCCAUUCUAUGCUUUCAGUUUUUCUUAAAUCUGUCCCUUGUCCUCUGGUCCCAUUAUUAGUAAAUUUAGACUACCCCAGAUUAUUAUAACCCUUCUAACUGAGUUCAUUGGCUCUAUACUAUAUUUGCCCAACUCUCCUCUUCAGUGGCCAAAAAAAAAAAAAAAAAAAA
rnacentral:lncRNA from 1 species